rnacentral:rRNA from 1 species
AUUGAACGCUGGCGGCAGGCUUAACACAUGCAAGUCGAGCGGAGAUGAGGUGCUUGCACCUUAUCUUAGCGGCGGACGGGUGAGUAAUGCUUAGGAAUCUGCCUAUUAGUGGGGGACAACAUUCCGACAGGAAUGCUAAUACCGCAUACGCCCUACGGGGGAAAGCAGGGGACCUUCGGACCUUGCGCUAAUAGAUGAGCCGAAGUCGGAUUAGCUAGUUGGUGGGGUAAAGGCCUACCAAGGCGACGAUCUGUAGCGGGUCUGGGAGGAUGAUCCGCCACACUGGGACUGAGACACGGCCCAGACUCCUACGGGAGGCAGCAGUGGGGAAUAUUGGACAAUGGGCGGAAGCCUGAUCCAGCCAUGCCGCGUGUGUGAAGAAGGCCUUUUGGUUGUAAAGCACUUUAAGCGAGGAGGAGGCUACCUGGAUUAAUACUCUAGGAUAGUGGACGUUACUCGCAGAAUAAGCACCGGCUAACUCUGUGCCAGCAGCCGCCGUAACAC